rnacentral:rRNA from 1 species
UACAGAGGUCCCGAGCGUUGUUCGGAUUCACUGGGCGUAAAGGGUGCGUAGGUGGCAUGGUAAGUUUGAUGUGAAAGCUCAGGGCUCAACCCUGAAAUGGCAUUGAAUACUACUGUGCUGGAGGUUUGGAGGGGGGACUGGAAUUCUCGGUGUAGCAGUGAAAUGCGUAGAUAUCGGGAGGAACACCAGUGGCGAAGGCGGCGACCUGGACCGAUACUGACGCUGAGACACGAAAGCGUGGGGAGCAAACAGG